UCCACUUUCCUGUUCUAUAGACUUCUUAACUUCUCCGUUCCUAUUUUCCCCAUCCAUCUCCUCCGAUCCCCUUUCUCUUUUCCUAAAUCUUGCUUCUCACUCAAAAAUUGCUGCUGCUGGAUAUCUCCCAUCAGCUUUCUUUGCUGAUUCACUUCAUGGAGGUUUAUCUUCCUCACCUGGAGCCACCCCCGCAGCUGGUUAUGGCACACAUGUUCAGCAUGGACGGCGGCUUGUCUCUGUCCUGCCCUCUUGCAUCUAGCUUGAGUAUGAGAUUGCUGGCUACAUUUUCUUUCACAAUUGCGCAAAGCAGACACAUCGUUUCUAUUUCUGCUCGAGGUAGCCCGGCACAUCACCCUCAUCCUUCACAGCGGUAACAUUCUUCAAAGCUCGACCUGAAGGUCCCUAUUUUUCCUUUUCCGACUGUAAUUUAUCCCCUUUUUCUUAUCCUUUUCCUAUGGUUGUGCGGUUGAACCAAUAUAAUGUAAUCAACGAAAUGACUUUUAGUGGUAAACAUUUCAUAUUUUUUCUUUCUAAUCUCGGAAAAACAUUUGAUUUUUUUUGUAAGUGGUCUAGUACAUAGUAGCUAGUAAUUAGUUCGUGAAAAUUUUAAAAUGUAAUUAUAUGUAUGAGCAGACAUACCAAUCAAAAUUAGUACUAUAUCGGUAAUUAAUUUAUAUUAAUCCAAAUUAGAACACAGAAUGGAACUUUGUGUUUAUCUUAAAAACAAUACAAGAAAGUAUGUACUUUUGACCUCACUGUUAGAUUUGUUUCUUUUCACAACUCUUCGCGGUUUCUUGUCGGUAGUCCUUUUGACAUGUGUAUAGUUUUGUUCGCAAUCUUUAUCUGAAUCAUCCUCUAUGGUAAUUAUAUCUGAACCUGUAGCUCAAAUGUUUCUUUGCGCACAUCCUGUCAAUCUGCGCAAUGGAGGAGGUGAGCUUGUCGAUCUUGACAGUAUCGUUGUCGUCGUCGUCCUUGGAGGCGAUAUGGGCAUGGAUCUUGUCUGCUACAGCGAGCUUGGAUCCACAUCGCAUCGUGGCUGUCCCCGAGCAAGACAGCCCAGCAGGUCGCCUUGAUCCUCGAUAGAGGUAGCCUGAUUUCGGCGACUCAUUCUUCCACCUGUAUGUCCCCACUUCUCCAUUUUCAUGCAUUUAUCAUAAUUUUUCUUGGUUCUUAUCAUUUCUCUUCAUGUGUACGGCUAAACUAAUAUAAUGUGCAUUAAGGUACAACUUGUUACUGAAAGAUGUAAACUUAUCUAUGCCCCUCCACUUUUUUCCGUACAUUGGACCGGCAUCGACAAUGUCAGGCCCCCCUGCCCCAUUUCAUUUGUAGACUUAAUAUGUAAUUUAAUUAAUUUGUGCUUUGCUAUAAUUUUACAAUUUCCCAAAGAUAGAAUUAUUUUCAGUAAGUGAAUAUGAAAAUAGGUGCUAUUACAUUUUACAUAUUAACUAUAACAAUCCGUGGAUGCUGUAACUAUUGUCAUGUUCAGUAGAAUAAGUUUCAAAUAUCAAAAUAUAUAUAGCAUUGGCAAUUGGUAUUAUUGGGCUAUUUCCAUCGAAUGUUGAUGCAUGUUUCCAAUAAUUCUGGGAGCAUUACAUCAUAUCUGUCGUCAUAUCAUGUUAGCAUAGAAAAAUCAGUUUAGUUCCAUCUUCUUUUGGUUAUGUUCCGUCAGAUCAUGUUAGCAUAGAAAAAAUAGUUUUGUUCCAUCUACUUAUGGGCUUUAUGGCUAUCUAAAAAGGCUAGUAGCAUCUGUAAGUGUAUUUUUAGUUCCUACCUUCAGUAUAUUUCUGUGUAGGCUAUGUUCUUGACCACAUCAUCCUCGCUGUUGGUUUAUUUGCUAUAGAAAAGAAAAUAACAUGUGUGAUCAAGUCGGUACGGCAUUACUUGCGAGUGUGUUUCCAAAUAUUCCCUUUCUCUUACAUUUCUCAUGAACUCUUUGAGCUUUAUGUAGAUCACCCGGUCAACAAUACCAGGUCUUUAUGAUGCUGCUAUGCCUACUUUCUGUAGCAAAGAUUGAAUGUGACAAAUAGUCUAUUUGUAUUGCACUACUGCAAAAUGCAUACAAAGGCAUCCAUAUUGAACUAUAGUUUAAGCUUUUCACACACCAGUAAGUGUUUAAAUGCUUUCUCUUGCAUUUUGCACCUUCUACUAUUGUGUAAUGUAUAUUUCCUCUGUACCCAUCUUCUCCUAGGGGAAUAACAAUCGAUACUGCACAUCCAUGUAUUUUGAAUGGUUCUCCGAUAUUCUUCUUGGUCUCAUGUCUUUGUACUGACCAAUGUGAUAUCAUGUCCUUUUCCAUUCUCUAUUGUAUCAUUCACAAUCAACGCUGCUACUUCAGUUGCAGAUGGCAUGUCAUGUCGUGUUAAUCUCACGUCGUGAUAGUUCAAGGCCGCUACUUCAGUUGCAGAUGGCAUGUCAUGUCGUGUUAAUCUCACGUGGAUAGUCACCUUCCUCGAAUUUAUCCCUUGCCAUUCUGAGUGUUUUUGCUAGUCUAUUAUCUUUAUCCAAUAUAUUUUUCAGGCCCUCGACAAUGUGAGGAUCUAUUGACUCCCUUUUAUCUUGUGAUGUUGACGUGUCAAUCCUGAUUCUUACCUCAUUUGUAGUGGCAUAGGUGUGCAGCUGCGCUGUGUGUGGUUUAUCUUUACCUUAAGGUAGUAGAGUACCUAUCUGUGAUAUUUUUGGCCAUUCAUUCCAAAUACAUAAGGCCCGGGACCAUUUUUUAUUUCUGUGUCUACCUUUCCUCCCAUUGAUGUAAAGUGAACAUGGAGUCGUCGAAUCUGAUAUUGUGCAUGUAGUUUUUCCACCUCUUUAUGAACUUAAAAGCAUUUGAUUGUGUUGUCACACCUUGAAUUGAACACAUGCAUUAUACUCCUGAUUCUGUUCUUGAUGUUAAGAAAGAUUGAACUCUAAGAAUAAGAUCAGAUUGCAAUUGAGGAUGAGAAGUUGAUGUACAAUAAUGACUGAAAAUCCACAAGGGGAACUUAGGACAAGUUUAAAAAGCUAUUUGACAUGAAUGAAAAGCUCUUUGAUUGUGUUGUCGUACCUUGAAUUGAAGACAUAAGUUGUACUGUCGUUUCUGCUCUUACUUUUAAGAAAAGAUUAAACUUUAUGUCAGUUCUAUAUGGUCUCUGCAGAUGGUCUAGCGGCUGGAGGUGAUCUGCUCACCUGAUGGAACCAACGGCACACAGUCGAGGAGAUUGGGGCACUCGCUCAUGAGUGUUCUUUUUUAGGGAAAACCUGAUGGAGCCGAUGGCACAAUCGAGGAGUUUGGGGCCCUCGCUCGUGGGAGUUCUUUUUUAGGGAAAGCCAUCAUGGCGAUGUAUAUUGAUUUGGAAUAACAGUAAUUAUCCGUAAGAACAUCAAGUAAAAAAGUUAGGGUGGCAUGUGAUGCUAUGAGUCGAACCUAUGGUGGGUUUUGUUUAUGAGAUUGUGAGAUUGUGUAAAGAAUAUGGGACGGAUCAAAACAUGGAUUGUGAGAUUAGCGUAUAGGAUAUGGAAAAAAGACAGAACAACAUGCAUGCAAUUGAUCAACGUAGGGUUGGAUAUUUGGGAAGAAGCCGUCAACGUACAUACCUUGCCCUUGACCGCUGCUCACGCUGCAUCUUGGUAAAGCAAGCCACCUCGGAGGCGACAUGUGCCUUCCAGCCCUAUCU